rnacentral:lncRNA from 1 species
GGGACUGAGGAGGAAUUACUCACUGUUUUCAAGGGGCAGUGUCAGCGAAGUAGAAGUCCAACCAAGGUCAUAGUGGAGGAUAUGCUGGAAAGGAAGGUUACAAGUGACACCGCAUGCUGAGCGUCUGUCUUCUUUCUAGUUAGUCCAGAUGUGUGGAUCAGCAAACUAUCCAGCAUCUAGAAGAGCUGUGCAUAUUGGGUGGGGGAGACUGAACUGCAUGCCAUUCUGAAGGAAAUCUUAAGACAAAGAAGAAAAUGUCCCCAGCUUUGCAGGUAAUAUUACUGGAACUUGCCAGAAAGAAGAUACAGCUUUCAGUGCAGUGAACUUGCCUGUGAGGAUAACCAGGUGCCAUCAAUAGCAAAACUAUUCUAUUUUGAACACCAGCCAAAAUGAUUCUACUCUCCUGAUAUUUUGAAGUUAGUAUUUUAUAACUGGCUUCAGCAUCAUAAUACCAUCUUUCCUUUGAG